rnacentral:tRNA from 1 species
GGGCCUGUAGUGUAAUGGUAGCACGCCACUGUUGACACGUGUGCAGUACGGGUUCAAAUCCCGUCAGGUCCA